rnacentral:rRNA from 1 species
UACGUAGGGUGCGAGCGUUGUCCGGAAUUACUGGGCGUAAAGAGCUCGUAGGUGGUUUGUCGCGUUGUCCGUGAAAACUCACAACUCAAUUGUGGGCGUGCGGGCGAUACGGGCAGACUGGAGUACUGCAGGGGGAGACUGGAAUUCCUGGUGUAGCGGUGGAAUGCGCAGAUAUCAGGAGGAACACCGGUGGCGAAGGCGGGUCUCUGGGGCAGUAACUGACGCUGAGGAGCGAAAGCGUGGGGAGCGAACAGG